rnacentral:rRNA from 1 species
AGUUUGAUCCUGGCUCAGGAUGAACGCUGGCGGCGUGCUUAACACAUGCAAGUCGAACGAAGCACUUUAUUUGAUUUCCUUCGGGACUGAUUAUUUUGUGACUGAGUGGCGGACGGGUGAGUAACGCGUGGGUAACCUGCCUUGUACAGGGGGAUAACAGUUGGAAACGGCUGCUAAUACCGCAUAAGCGCACAGCAUCGCAUGAUGCAGUGUGAAAAACUCCGGUGGUAUAAGAUGGACCCGCGUUGGAUUAGCUAGUUGGUGAGGUAACGGCCCACCAAGGCGACGAUCCAUAGCCGACCUGAGAGGGUGACCGGCCACAUUGGGACUGAGACACGGCCCAAACUCCUACGGGAGGCAGCAGUGGGGAAUAUUGCACAAUGGGCGAAAGCCUGAUGCAGCGACGCCGCGUGAGCGAAGAAGUAUUUCGGUAUGUAAAGCUCUAUCAGCAGGGAAGAUAAUGACGGUACCUGACUAAGAAGCACCGGCUAAAUACGUGCCAGCAGCCGCGGUAAUACGUAGGUGGCGAGCGUUGUCCGGAAUUAUUGGGCGUAAAGGGAGCGCAGGCGGGAGGUCAAGUCUAUCUUAAAAGCGCGGGGCUCAACCCCGUGAGGGGAUGGAAACUGGUCUUCUUGAGUGCAGGAGAGGAAAGCGGAAUUCCUAGUGUAGCGGUGAAAUGCGUAGAUAUUAGGAGGAACACCAGUGGCGAAGGCGGCUUUCUGGACUGUAACUGACGCUGAGGCUCGAAAGCGUGGGGAGCGAACAGGAUUAGAUACCCUGGUAGUCCACGCCGUAAACGAUGAAUGCUAGGUGUAGGAGGUAUCGACCCCUCCUGUGCCGGAGUUAACGCAAUAAGCAUUCCGCCUGGGGAGUACGGCCGCAAGGCUGAAACUCAAAGGAAUUGACGG